rnacentral:rRNA from 2 species
CAACAGUACGUGAAACCGCAUAGAGGUAAACGGGUGGAUCCGCAAAGUCGGCCCGCGGAAUUCAGCUCGGAAGGCUGCGCGCCUGUCGCCGGGUAGGAGAUCGCAAGACUCUCCCGGCGCGGGACGCGUGUCGGCCGUGUGCACUUUCCGUGGGCAGAGCGCCACGACCGGUUUCCGGGCGGUCAGAAGGCGGCGAGGAUGGUAGGCGCGCGCCUCGGCGCGCGCUGGUAUAGCCUCGCCUGUCCCGAUCCGCCUGGGGACCGAGGAGCCGCCGUGGGCUGGGGCCGCCUCGCCCUCCCGGGACGUUCGACUGGCAGAGACUGGGUGACCGUGUCUGCCGACCGCUUCCUGGGACGGACUGGGGUGGGCCCGCCCUCACAGGGUCAGUGGCGAAUCGGUCGGCCCUCCACCCGACCCGUCUUGAAACACGGACCAAGGAGUCUAACAUGCGCGCGAGUCGUUGGGUCGUACGAAACCCGAAGGCGAAGUGAAAGCGAGGGCCGUCUCUGACGUGCUCAGGUGGGAUCCCGGUCCCUCCGCGGGCUGGGCGCACCACCGGCCCGUCUCGUCCGCGUUGU